GUGCCCGUAACUCAGUGGUAGAGUGUGAGAUUGCAAUUCCGCGUUGCAAGAUCUUGAAGCCCCGUGUUCGACCCACGGCGGGCACU